rnacentral:tRNA from 1 species
GCGCAAGUGGCGGAAUCGGCAGACGCGCCAGGUUUAGGUCCUGGUGCCUUCGGGCGUGCGGGUUCAAGUCCCGCCUUGCGCA